GAUUGCGAUCAUACCAGCACUAAUGCACCGAAUCCCAUCAGAACUCCGCAGUUAAGCGUGCUUGGGCGAGAGUAGUACUAGGAUGGGUGACCCCCUGGAAGUCCUCGUGUUGCAACCC
rnacentral:rRNA from 1 species